GUGACAACCGCGCGCAGCCUUCGACGAUACGGUCCUUAUAUCUGAAAGUUUGACUCAUGCAGGUGAUGCAGAAAUUACUUCAUGUCAAACUGUGGGAUGUCAGAGUAUGAAGAAGUUAAAACACUGACAGGAAGCCAUAAUGAAAUCUGGAGUUGCAACAUCCAACGUGUAAGAUAAGUGUGACACUGAAAGGAGAUUCCCAUUAAGCCUUUGGGUUGAAAGGUAAACAGAGGACUCCCUCUCCACCCCCGGCUAAAGUUUCCGCCUCCUGGCUUUUUCUGCGGACAGACUGGGAUUCUUGCUCUCAGCAUUAUGGCUUUGUGUUCCUGAGGCCAUCUGGACCACUUUUUCGUGUUUAUCAGGACGGUCUUUAAAAACUGAGCCAGCAAGUCAUUAAAAUUAGGCCUGUCUUCAUUUUGAUCAUGUUUUCAAUGCACUAUACCAUUGUUGGGGAAUGAACAGUUUCUGGAGCAAUUGGAGUACAAUGUUAUGUUUUAGUAUCAUUAUGUUUGUAUAAAGCAAUCAUCUGUUAUUUUGUUACUCAUUCUCAAAGUCAGGGGUUUGUUGGGUUGGCGGGUAAAAAACCUAAAAUUUGGGGGAACUUGUUCAAGCCAGUAAGCCACUGUCUGCCAACCACACAGAAUACCAUGGCAACCACAUAACAAUACACAGCCUAACAACCACACGUUUUUAUGCAUUGUGGGGACUUUCCAUAGACGUAAACUCUUUUCUACUGCACAAACUGUAUAUUCUUUUUCCCUCCCCUAACCGAACCCCAAA